rnacentral:misc_RNA from 1 species
GGUCUGCUAUUUCUAUUUACGUUUUAGUACUCUGGAAACAGAAUCUACUAAAACAAGGCAAAAUGCCGUGUUUC